rnacentral:rRNA from 1 species
GUGGUUAGGGGUGAAAUGCCAAUCGAAUCCGGAGCUAGCUGGUUCUCCCCGAAAUGUGUUUAGGCGCAGCGGUUAAUGUUAUAAUUUAGGGGUAAAGCACUGUUUCGGUGCGGGCUGGUAAAACGGUACCAAAUCGAGGCAAACUCAGAAUACUAAAUGAAUAAUUAACCAGUAAGACUAUGGGGGAUAAGCUUCAUUGUCAAGAGGGAAACAGCCCAGACCACCAGCUAAGGCCCCUAAAUAAUUGCUAAGUGAUAAAGGAUGUGGGAAUGCAUAGACAACCAGGAGGUUUGCUUAGAAGCAGCAAUCCUUUAAAGAGUGCGUAAUAGCUCACUGGUCGAGUAGGCUUGCGCCGAAAAUGAAUGGGACUAAGUAAUUUGCCGAAGCUGUGGGAUAUUUAUAAUAUCGGUAGGGGAGCGUUCUGUUGUAGGUUGAAGCAUUAACGUAAGUAGGUGUGGACGAAGCAGAAGUGAGAAUGUCGGCUUGAGUAGCGAAAACAUUGGUGAGAAUCCAAUGCCCUGAAAACCUAAGGUUUCCUCCGGAAGGCUCGUCCGCGGAGGGUAAGUCAGGACCUAAGGCGAGGCCGAAAGGCGUAGUCGAUGGACAACGGGUUAAUAUUCCUGUACUAUUUUUUAUUGACAACAAAGGACGGAGAAGGCUAUGUUGGCCGGAUAUUGGUUACCGGUUUAAGCGUUUAAGGUGUUGAGAGGUAGUGAAAAUACUUUGAGCUAAGGCGUGAAUACGAAAUGCUACGGCAUAAAAGCAACGGAUGUCAUACUUCCAAGAAAAGUUUGCACUGUCAUAAAUAAAAAAUACCUGUACUCUAAACCGACACAGGUGGGUAGGUAGAGAAUACCAAAGGGCGCGAGAUAACUCUCUCUAAGGAACUCGGCAAAAUAACCCCGUAACUUUGGGAGAAGGGGUACCUUGAGAAAGGUUGCAAUAACCAGGUUCAAGCGACUGUUUACCAAAAACACAGGUUUCCGCUAAGUUGUAAGACGACGUAUGGGAGCUGACGCCUGCCCAGUGCCGGAAGGUUAAGGAAGUUGGUUUAAUGCUGAUGACUGAAGCCCCGGUGAACGGCGGCCGUAACUAUAACGGUCCUAAGGUAGCGAAAUUCCUUGUCGGGUAAGUUCCGACCCGCACGAAAGGCGUAACGAUUUGAACACUGUCUCGGAGAGAGACUCGGCGAAAUAGACAUGUCUGUGAAGAUGCGGACUACCUGCACCUGGACAGAAAGACCCUAUGAAGCUUUACUGUAACUUGAGAUUGACUUCGGGCUUUAUUUGCGCAGGAUAGGUGGGAGGCUUUGAAGAUAUUCUUGUGGGAAUAUUGGAGCCGUUGUUGAGAUACCACUCUUGUAAAGCUAGAAUUCUAACCUUAUACCGUUAUCCGGUUAAGGAACAUUCUCUGGUGGGCAGUUUGACUGGGGCGGUCGCCUCCUAAAAGGUAACGGAGGCGCACAAAGGUUUUCUCAGAUCGGUCAGAAAUCGAUCGUAGAGCGUAAAGGCAUAAGAAAGCUUGACUGCGAGACUUACAAGUCGAGCAGAGACGAAAGUCGGUCUUAGUGAUCUGACGGUUCCGAGUGGAAGGGCCGUCACUCAACGGAUAAAAGUUACUCUAGGGAUAACAGGCUGAUCUCCCCCAAGAGUUCACAUCGACGGGGAGGUUUGGCACCUCGAUGUCGGCUCAUCGCAUCCUGGGGCGGUAGUACGUCCCAAGG